ensembl:snoRNA SNORA70 Small nucleolar RNA SNORA70
CUGCAGCCAAUUAAACAGAUAGGUUCCUUUGCUACUGGGAUCCUAGUGUGCAAAGCUGCAAAUAGUAGCCUCCUUAGUGGUGUAGACAGCCUAUAGCUUGUGUAGGUUGCCCUAAAGGACCUUGGAGACAGAC